GCCUAUGGCAAUGCCACCCUGAAUGUGCCUGAUUGCAUCUGAUCUUGAAAGCUAAGCAGGGUCUGGCCUGGUUAGUAUUUGGAUGGGACCAAAUAGUAACUUAACAAAAUGCCUUGUCU
rnacentral:rRNA from 1 species